UUGCUUCAGCAGCACAUACACUAAAAUUGGAACAAUGCAGAGAAGACUAGCACAGUCCCUGCACAAGGAUGACACUUCAGACCAAGAUGCAAAUAUACGUUAA